rnacentral:tRNA from 1 species
GGUGGUGUAGUGGUUAAAGCACUUGGCUCUUAACCAAAAGGUGGUGGUUCAAACCCACUAGCCACUC